GAUAAGUGUUGUUUUACACUAUUCACGUUUAACGUUUGACCGUUUGUUUUAUUUGAAAAAAUUUUAUGAUUAGUAUUUUUAUUACUAUUAGAUGAUAAAACAUGAAUAAUACUUUAUGUGCGACUAAAUAUUUUUAAAUUUUUCAUAAAUUUUUUAAAUAAGACGGACGGUCAAACAUUGGACACGGAUAUCCACGACUGUACUUAUU
rnacentral:pre_miRNA from 1 species